GAUGAACGCUGGCGGCGUGCUUAACACAUGCAAGUCGAACGGUGAAGGCGGAGCUUGCUCUGCUGGAUCAGUGGCGAACGGGUGAGUAACACGUGAGCAAUCUGCCCCUGACUCUGGGAUAAGCGCUGGAAACGGCGUCUAAUACUGGAUACGAGCUGCGAAGGCAUCUUCAGCAGCUGGAAAGAACUUCGGUCAGGGAUGAGCUCGCGGCCUAUCAGCUUGUUGGUGAGGUAACGGCUCACCAAGGCGUCGACGGGUAGCCGGCCUGAGAGGGUGACCGGCCACACUGGGACUGAGACACGGCCCAGACUCCUACGGGAGGCAGCAGUGGGGAAUAUUGCACAGUGGGCGAAAGCCUGAUGCAGCAACGCCGCGUGAGGGACGACGGCCUUCGGGUUGUAAACCUCUUUUAGCAGGGAAGAAGCGAAAGUGACGGUACCUGCAGAAAAAGCGCCGGCUAACUACGUG
rnacentral:rRNA from 1 species